UGUGUGGCCCAGGACGUAAGGGCCGUGAUGAUUUGACGACAUCCCCACCUUCCUCACGGUUUGCACCGGCAGUCUUGUUAGAGUUCCCGACAUUACUCGCUGGCAACUAACAACAGGGGUUGCGCUCGUUAUAGGACUUAACCUGACACCUCACGGCACGAGCUGACGACAACCAUGCAGCACCUUGUAAUCUGUCCGAAGAAAACUCUAUCUCUAAAGCUGUCAGACUACAUUUAAGCCCUGGUAAGGUUCCUCGCGUAUCAUCGAAUUAAACCACAUGCUCCACCGCUUGUGCGGGCCCCCGUCAAUUCCUUUGAGUUUCAUUCUUGCGAACGUACUCCCCAGGUGGGAUACUUAUCACUUUCGCUUAGCCACUCAAUCCGAAGAUCGAACAGCUAGUAUCCAUUGUUUACGGCGUGGACUACCAGGGUAUCUAAUCCUGUUCGCUCCCCACGCUUUCGUCCCUCAGCGUCAAUAUAGUGUUAGUGAUCUGCCUUCGCAAUUGGUAUUCUGUGUAAUAUCUAUGCAUUUCACCGCUACACUACACAUUCUAACCACUUCACACUAAUUCAAGAAAUCCAGUAUCAAUGGCAAUUUUACAGUUGAGCUGCAAGAUUUCACCACUGACUUAGAUUCCCGCCUACGGACCCUUUAAACCCAAUGAUUCCGGAUAACGCUCGGACCCUCCGUAUUACCGCGGCUGCUGGCACGGAGUUAGCCGGUCCUUAUUCUUAUAGUACCGUCAGCUUCUCACACGUGAAAAGGUUUCUUCCUAUAUAAAAGCAGUUUACAACCCAUAGGGCCGUCUUCCUGCACGCGGCAUGGCUGGAUCAGAGUUGCCUCCAUUGUCCAAUAUUCCUCACUGCUGCCUCCCGUAGGAGUCUGGUCCGUGUCUCAGUACCAGUGUGGGGGAUCCCCCUCUCAGGGCCCCUACCUAUCGUUGUCUUGGUAAGCCGUUACCUUACCAACUAACUAAUAGGACGCAUACUCAUCUUAUACCACCGAAGCUUUACUAUUUAUAUAAUGCUAUAAAAAUAGACUAUAAGGUAUUAAUCUUCAUUUCUAAAGGCUAUCCCUCUGUAUAAGGCAGAUUGUAUACGCGUUACGCACCCGUGCGCCGGUCGUCAGCAGAAAAGCAAGCUUCUCUCUGUUACCCCUCGACUUGCGUGUGUUAGGCCUGCCGCUAGCGUUCAUCCUGA
rnacentral:rRNA from 1 species